rnacentral:piRNA from 1 species
UGUAGGUCCAGGCGAAUUCUUUUGUGGUGU